AUGGGGAUGAGCUGCGUCCGGAACCUUCCGGAACCUUCCGGGACCGCGCCCGGAUCCGGCUUUGCCUCAUCCCCAUCUCCCCUUUUUCCCGCAGGGCUCCGGGCGGCCGUGACCCUGCUGGAGUCCGGGGGGGACCUCCAGCCCCCCGGGGGGUCCCUGCGCCUCCUCUGCCGAGGGGACGGAUUCACCUUCGGGAAUUUCGACAUGUUCUGGAUCCGCCAGAGACCCGGGAAGGCGCUGGAAUUUGUGGCGAGCAUCAACAACAAUGGUGGCACCACCAAAUACGCGCCGUCGGUGCAGGGCCGGUUCACCAUCAGCAGGGACAACGGGCAGAGCUCGGUGACGCUGAGCAUGAACAACCUCCAGGACGAGGAUUCCGGGGUUUAUUUCUGCGCCAAAACUUUUGAUGGUGGUUGGGGUGUUGGUUGGGAUGUUGGUUUUAGUGAUGGUGCCCAUGCCAGACCCAAGCCACGACCGUUGGUGGAAACCAAACCCCCCAGAAUUCCCAAAUCCUGCCCCAAUCCCAGCCCUGGGCCCCAAAUCUGA